CAUCCAAUUAUUCAAAAAAAUAUAUCAUUAACAUACAUUAAUGUACCAUUAUCCAAACGUAAAAAAAUUUUGCCAUUACAUUGUAUGUUAUUGCCAUUCAAUUACUGUUAUUACUAUACAUUAAUUAACCAUCACUAGAAUUUAUCUAAAUAAAGCCUAAGUCUCAAUGACUUCCUUCCACUUCCUCUUUCCUUAGCUUGUUGCUUCAGUCUCAAUUUUUUGUUUCCUCCUAAAUCUGUCCCAUUUCUCUUCUACUUUCUUUCUCCCUCUGCUGUGCAACAUAGAUUUUCCUAUCUGUUCCUUGAUCUUCUCAAAUACUAAAAGAAAGCAUACGCCUCCCCCUCUACUCUGCCUUUGUCUUCUUCCCAUUUUGUGGAUAUGCAAAAGCCUCUCCGUUACUUUGUUUUUCUCAUCUUUUUCUUUCUUCUCCCAAAAAUCCUAACACAACCUCACCUUUUUCUUAGUCGAUUGAAGGACUGACGAAGCAAUAAAAGACGAUCCCAGAAAUAGUGUCAUUUGGUGAUUAGGCAGAAGGUGUUGAAACGAUUGAAACAAACGUUCCUUUUUAUACACUCAAAAAAAGAGGAGAAAUGAGAAAAGGACUGACGAGGCCUGCACGAAAAUAGGCCAGGCUUUGCACGCUUUCUAUCUUCAUUUUCUUUUUUGGCUCAAUUAAUUCCUUUUUCGUUCAUUUUUUUGUUUUUCUUCCUUCUUUUUUUCCUUUUUUAAUUUUUUAUUUAUCUUUUUUUCUUUCCUCUAUUUUUUUUUUUUAAAAACUACUCCUUUUUCUCUCUCAAUUUUUUUUUUUUAAUUUUCUCAUUCUUCUCUCUCUUUUCAUUCUCUGAUUUUCACUUCUCUUCAUGAUUCUCAACUUUUUUUCUUAUAUUUAAAAAAUGUUAUCAUAGUGAUAAAAACUAAUAAUUGAGAGAAUAAUGACAAAAAAAAAUUUAAUAACACAAAUUGCAAGCAAAUUAAGCAAUUUCAUGACUGAUUUAAUUUUGUUAUUAUUAUUAUUAUUAAUUUAAGGCCGGACAAAAUUAAGGUAUGAUAGGAAAACAAUUUUAAAACUUGUUUUAAAAUCCUAAUUUUGAAUGCGGAUAUGAGUAAUAAUAAAAAAGAAAGUAGAGUUUAGGCAUAAAUUUAGUGCUUUUGGUGACUAGAAAGAAGAAAAGAAGAGGAAAGAAGAAGGGGGAAGGUUGAGACCAAAGCUUCAAUUAGAGUAUUUUUUUACUUUAUCUUUCUUUUGUUCAUCAUUCUAAUAGUCCAUAAUUUUUUUAUUUUUGGGUUUUAUUUGUAUUUCUCUUUAUUCAUCUUUUAUAUUCCUUGUGAUUAUCAAGAAUUCUAUUAUUGAUGGAACCUAUUUGAUGCUUAUGAGAUGAGACUCAAGAGGGUUAAAGCAUAUGCAUGGCCUAAGAAUAAUAACCAAGUGUAGUAAGUUAAGAGGCUAUUAUUAAUAGUGAAAAUUACUUAAUGGAUAUCUAGUUUAAUUUAGUCAUUUAGGGAUAUUGGAUAAAUUUCCUAGAUGCACAUAUUUCUUUGGCAUUAGGGAGAGUGGCUGAACUAAUGAUCAGUAUCUAGGAUUUAGGAUCAAUAGUUAGAAGGGUUAUUGUAACAUCCCAAAAAUCUUCAUGCUUAAUUUAUAAUGUGAACCCCUAUUUAUUCNNN
rnacentral:lncRNA from 1 species